GAAAUGUGGGAACCGUAGUAGUGGGGCGGUCGUCUUCAUCGCUACCAGAAAUUUACGAUUAGUUCCACGAACACUUCACAGUAGAUCGCUCACUUCCUCGAUUUCUACCGGCAGCGCUUUCGGCUUGCUCGUUCUCGACGUGUCUCGUAUAAGGAAGAGGUGGGAGAGAAGAAAGCCCAUAUUUCGCUUCCAUUUCAAACAAUUCCUCGCCCCCUUUACCUUCUCCUUUUCUUUCUGUCCCCCUCGUUGUCGAGUCCUGAACGAUUCCUUCUCCCCUUUCGUCUUUUUCUUUUGUUUCUUUUGAUGUAUGUUUGAGAUUUGGGGAAGGAAUUUUUGAUGUUUUAGACGAUCGCAAAGGUUAUCUGAUCUAGCGGACGGUUUCCUUGAAACAGAGGAAUGAUUUGGUGAUAGUUUGGCCGCUCUGUUGGGGUAGGAUCGAUAGGGUGGAGAAGGAUUAGGGUUCGGAUACCGGUCGUUGCGUAGAGAUGCUGAAGAAUCUGAUGGAGGACAAGAAGAUCGACUUGGAUGCCCCGCUCCUCUCCGUCCGGAGAUUCUCAGCGGGAGCGGUGGCGGCGUCUUCUCCGACUCCGCCCGUAUCCAAUGGGGAGGAGGGCGAUCAACGGCCUCCGCCGCCGAGAAGGUCGUCGUUGCCUUUCUAUAAGUCGGAUUUGAAGUCGGGCCCCGUGCGUGUCCCUGGCGUCGUCCCCUUCGUCUGGGAACAGACGCCCGGCCAGCCCAAGGACGGGUCGGUUCGCUCCUCCAAUGUGAAGCCUCUGGUGGCGCCAAAGCCGCCGCCUGGCAAUAGCGUCCGAACUCGUAAAGCUGUGACCUUUGCCUCUGAUUAUGUCACUGCCAGAUCCUCCGAGUCCCCUAAAGACGAUCCUAAGAUUGUAGAGGGAGAGAAUGUGGACAAGGAAGAGAAGGUAGGGAAGAAGCCAGAACACCAGCCCGUUCUGGCGGUGGACAACCGCGAAGAAGAAGUAGAAGAAGAUGACGAUGACAAUGAUGCCUUCUCCGAUGCGCUUGAUACGCUAUCACGAACCGACUCCAUGUUAAUGAAUUGCAGUGUCAGUGGCCUCAGUGGAGUCCCAGAAGCAGCCAAGCUCUCAGGCAGGUUUCCGAAGGACCCCCCAGUCCGGGACUUCAUGUUGGAGAGGUUCUUGCCCGCUGCCCAGGCCAUGGCUUGCGAAUCACCUCAGUACGCCUUCAGGAAAGCAACUGCCCCUCCACGAGAGGCUAUAAAGCCUACCGAUAGGGUCCUAAUUAGCGAUAAUAGGAGGCCUGCUCCUAUUCCUUACCAGAACAAGCCUGAUUACGUACCGCAUUAUGCUAAGGAGCUAGAACAAGUGGAUAGCUAUGAUGAUGAUGAGGAAGAUGAGGAAUACUAUCAGGAUGCUGGCAAUUUGUCAUCGAAAGCUUGUGGUUUGCUUCCAAAGUUUUGUUUAAAGAGUUCCUUUUGUCUUCUAAAUCCUGUUCCAGUUAUGAAGGUACAACGACACCUGCGCAGGCCACCAAGGGGGAGAACUGGAAACCCCCAGAUAAGAAACAUGCAUCCCUUGUCUCAUAGUCGAGUUGAAGAGGAGCCUUCAUGGGGAGCUGUUUUUAGGCACAAAUUGGAGCAGGAACAUCAAGCACAAGUGGCAGAGCUGAGUAGAUUCAGGAGUGAAUCCGAUUCCCUGACACCUGAUGGCUCCUCUCCCUAUCAACAUUCAGUAACAUCUCCUUAUCAGAGUGAAGGCCCUCCAACAUCACUUCAUGAAGAGAAGGGUCCUCUUGGAGUUGUAAGCAGAGAAAGCAAGAGUAGUAAGGCUGAUGGUUCUGAUGUGGGUGAGAAAGUCGUUGAGAACCACUGGGAAAUAAAUCAUAGCAGCCAAAUGGGUUCAGGCACCAUGAGCCCUGCACCGGAGAAAACUCUUUAUGUGGAUGUAGAGAAUAGGCUGGGAUCUUCAGAUUCAAAGUCAAGUUCUUUCAAUACUGUCAAAGACACUAGAAGUAUGACGAGCUCUGGUGAGGUUGGUACAGAAAGUAAGAGAAUGGAAGAAAGUUUAGUUGCCAAAGUUCAUGAAAGGGAUGCAUUGCAUCCGGAAGUCUGCAAUGUUGCUGAGCCUGUUUUACCUUUCACUUUAAAAAAAUUGAAUCAUGGGUAUAUAAAUGGUGAUACUGACCUCAAACAUGGUUACAAAGAUAGUGAUCCACCAAAUCUGAAGAGUAACCGAAAUCCUUUGCAGUCACUCCUGCCUCCACCAUUGCCUAAAUCACCAUCUGAGUCCUGGCUCUCUCGUACAUUGCCUUCUGUUGCAUCAAAAAAUCCAGCUCCCCAGUCAUUACUAGGCAUUCAACUUCAUCCUAGGAAACAAACCUUGCAUGUAUCCUCAAUUGAUGUGAUUCAAGAAACAACUAUUAAACCUUCGAAACCACGACAUCGCCAGAUUCGGUUUGCUGAGGUGUUGGCAAAACCUGAAUCUCCAAAGUCAGAAAUUUGAGUUGUGAACUUACUCUUACUCACACAAGCACACUCAUGUUCUACUGCAACUGUGAACCCAGAUGAUGAGAAGCUAAAAGCAUUUGAUUGUGGCUAGUGAAGGAGUUCCUUUCAAAGAUACUGUGAUGUUACAAAUUUGAGCUGAGAAGGUAGGUGGGCUGCAUGUCAAAGAAGAUGUGCUUACCAUUGUGGUUGUUAUUUUAUUAAAAUUUUGAUCAAUUGUCUACAAUUUGGUUUCCGUUUUCAGUUCAAUGAGGCUGUUAAGUUUCCUUUUCUAAAUUUUUCUUGGUUUCUUUAAUUUCACAUCAGGUCUUGGAUCAUAGAACAGAUGAGCUAAAAGAAGGAUUUUAUGAUUGGCAUGAUUAAGGGGUCAUGAUGUGUCAAUGGUUUGUCUUUUGUUUGAGUGUAGAAAAUGGCCUUAACAAAAUAAUAACUU